CAGCCGCCGCGGGAAUACAGAGGGUGCGAGCGUUAAUCGGAUUUACUGGGCGUAAAGCGUGCGUAGGCGGCUUUUUAAGUCGGAUGUGAAAUCCCUGAGCUUAACUUAGGAAUUGCAUUCGAUACUGGGAAGCUAGAGUAUGGGAGAGGAUGGUAGAAUUCCAGGUGUAGCGGUGAAAUGCGUAGAGAUCUGGAGGAAUACCGAUGGCGAAGGCAGCCAUCUGGCCUAAUACUGACGCUGAGGUACAAAAGCAUGGGGAGCAAACAGGAUUAAAUACCCCUGUAGUCCCUGUCUCUUAUAA
rnacentral:rRNA from 1 species